UACGAAGGGUGCAAACGUUGCUCGGAAUUAUUGGGCGUAGAGCGCACGUAGGCGGCUUAGCAAGUCGGAUGUGAAAUCCCUCGGCUCAACCAAGGAAGUGCAUCCGAAACUGCUGAGCUUGAGUACGAAAGAGGAUCGCGGAAUUCCCGGUGUAGAGGUGAAAUUCGUAGAUAUCGGGAGGAACACCAGUGGCGAAGGCGGCGAUCUGGGUCGAUACUGACGCUGAGGUGCGAAAGCGUGGGGAGCAAACAGG
rnacentral:rRNA from 1 species